UAAAUAUGAUAACGUUCAGGUGCCCGCGAGGGAGAAUAGGGAAUCGGGUGUAAGUCCCGGACGGUCCCGCCACUGUAACCGGUAGUCCAUCUCAUAGCCACCGCUUGUUGUCCGAUAGGCAAAGCAGGCGGGAAGGGAGACGCGGACGUUACGCCGGAAGUCAGGAGACCUGCCUGAAUUGUUGCGAGCUGU
rnacentral:ncRNA from 18 species